GUAACAUUUUAUUAUUAUAAUUUGAAUUUUGUUUCCCUUAAAUUAAGCUAUAGUAUUUUUGCAGUAAUGGAAAUAAAUAGAAGACCAGAAAAUUUCACCCUACAGACAAUUUCAUUGAUAUCAAAACUCAACCAAAGAGUUAUACUAGUAAUUCAGCUAACAAAACAUAACUAUAGUAAUUCAGAUACAACUUUGGGGCAAUUUAAGCAUGAGUUACAUACACUUAACAGCAACACCAUAACCACUAGAUCUCUUCCCUAUAUGGUGAUCAUCAGGACAUCAAAAAAGCAGCCUGUUCUGUUCAACAAAACCAUACCGACAUAG